UGGGGAAUAUUGCACAAUGGGCGAAAGCCUGAUGCAGCGACGCCGCGUGAGGGAUGACGGCCUUCGGGUUGUAAACCUCUUUCGCUCAUGGUCAAGCCGCAGCUUUGGGUUGUGGUGAGGGUAGUGGGUAAAGAAGCGCCGGCUAACUACGUGCCAGCAGCCGCGGUAAUACGUAGGGCGCGAGCGUUGUCCGGAAUUAUUGGGCGUAAAGGGCUUGUAGGCGGUUGGUCGCGUCUGCCGUGAAAUCCUCUGGCUUAACUGGGGGCGUGCGGUGGGUACGGGCUGACUUGAGUGCGGUAGGGGAGACUGGAACUCCUGGUGUAGCGGUGGAAUGCGCAGAUAUCAGGAAGAACACCGGUGGCGAAGGCGGGUCUCUGGGCCGUUACUGACGCUGAGGAGCGAAAGCGUGGGGAGCGAACAGGAUUAGAUACCCUGGUAGUCCACGCUGUAAACGUUGGGCACUAGGUGUGGGGGCCACCCGUGGUUUCUGCGCCGUAGCUAACGCUUUAAGUGCCCCGCCUGGGGAGUACGGCCGCAAGGCUA
rnacentral:rRNA from 1 species